GACGAACGCUGGCGGCGUGCUUAACACAUGCCAGUCGAACGGAAAGGCCCUGCUUUUGUGGGGUGCUCGAGUGGCGAACGGGUGAGUAACACGUGAGUAACCUGCCCUUGACUUUGGGAUAACUUCAGGAAACUGGGGCUAAUACCGGAUAGGAGCUCCUGCUGCAUGGUGGGGGUUGGAAAGUUUCGGCGGUUGGGGAUGGACUCGCGGCUUAUCAGCUUGUUGGUGGGGUAGUGGCUUACCAAGGCUUUGACGGGUAGCCGGCCUGAGAGGGUGACCGGCCACAUUGGGACUGAGAUACGGCCCAGACUCCUACGGGAGGCAGCGGUGGGGAAUAUUGCACGAUGGGCGGAAGCCUGAUGCAGCAACGCCGCGUGCGGAAUGACGGCCUUCGGGUUGUAAACCGCUUUCGCCUGUGACGAAGCGUGAGUGACGGUAAUGGGUAAAGAAGCACCGGCUAACUACGUG
rnacentral:rRNA from 1 species